GCUUAUACUCGACCGUCAGCGGCACGUGCGAUCGCGCGAGCGAUCACGAAGCCCUGACGAGUAGGAGGGUCGCGGCGGUGAGCGCAGAAGGGCUGGCCGCGAGGCCGUCUGGAGCCGCCGUCGGUGCAGAUCUUGGUGGUAGUAGCAAAUACUCCAGCGAGGCCCUGGAGGACUGACGUGGAGAAGGGUUUCGUGUGAACAGCCGUUGCACACGAGUCAGUCGAUCCUAAGCCCUAGGCGAAAGCCGAUGUCGAUGCGGUGUAGCUUUAUUAAUUUUGUAAUUAAUUUACGAGCACACACCCGUCGGGCGAAAGGGAAUCCGGUUCCUAUUCCGGAACCUGGCAGCGGAACCGUAAAAAAGUCGGGC
rnacentral:rRNA from 1 species